GAGGGGCAGCAUGAACUUAGCUUGCUAAGUUUGAUGGCGACCGGCGCACGGGUGAGUAACACGUAUCCAACCUGCCGAUGACUCGGGGAUAGCCUUUCGAAAGAAAGAUUAAUACCCGAUGGCAUAGUUCUUCCGCAUGGUAGGACUAUUAAAGAAUUUCGGUCAUCGAUGGGGAUGCGUUCCAUUAGCUUGUUGGCGGGGUAACGGCCCACCAAGGCAUCGAUGGAUAGGGGUUCUGAGAGGAAGGUCCCCCACAUUGGAACUGAGACACGGUCCAAACUCCUACGGGAGGCAGCAGUGAGGAAUAUUGGUCAAUGGGCGCCAGCCUGAACCAGCCAAGUAGCGUGAAGGAUGACUGCCCUAUGGGUUGUAAACUUCUUUUAUAUGGGAAUAAAGUGCAGUAUGUAUACUGCUUUGCAUGUACCUUAUGAAUAAGGAUCGGCUAACUCCGUGCCAACAGCCGCGGUAAUACGGAGGAU
rnacentral:rRNA from 1 species